CCAGGCUGAGGCCCAAGUUGGGAAAUACAGAUGUAUUUCAACCCUGAAUCGUACGUUUAGAGCCAACAGGGUUUUUCUGAAGCCAUCUGGGUGACUGAACAAUAUUUAUGUUUCAGUUUAUGCUACCAUGAGUUGGAGGCUCAGUUGUUCAUACUCAAGACUCUGUGUUUUCUAGGCCCCAUAUGAAGUGAGAAUUUAUCUCUGCAUCAAAUCCAGACUUCAGGGUGUAGGCACCGGGAUCAUACCACUUCUGAUACUUAAGUCCAGACUCUUCACACGAGGCAAGAAGCAUCCGCAGUUAAUAGUUGACAGUAAAUUACACAAAGUAAAACACGCAGAAUUAAAGUUAGGAAAUCUGGGGAGAUUUUCUAUCAUUUUCAAUUUUCUGCACAAAUACAGACAUAAUCAGUGUUUAGGAUCUGCAUGUGAUGAAUUAAUUACAUCUGUAAUUCACUCUUUUUCAUGUUCCUGCAUCCAGACGGUAAUUUGCUUCCAAAUAUCUUUGCUCAUCUAAUAUUCUAAAGUUGUUCAUAGGCUGAAAAUAAGUCUAGUAGCACAUUGCCAUCCAGGCUGCUUUUGUAGCUAAGUAGCUUACAAAUGGGGCCAAAUUAAAAAAGAAAAUGUUCCAGAGGAAAAAAGGGAGUCAACUUUGUCAUCACCGAAACAAGAUGCAUCUUUGAUGCAUGGCAUUGCUUUUCAGAUGAGCCAUGAAAAAGAAAUACCUGAAGAAUUCAUUAUUUGUAUAAGAUCUUGUUAGUAAAGAUCUGCUUUCUAAAGGAACUGUCUUUUAUUUCACAUAAUCUCAUAUCACUUCACGGACUAAUUAAAUCUAGCCAGGAGAAAGAUUGUCACCAUGGCUUUAUUUAUUGAACUCUCCUCUCCUCUCUCCUCUCCU